AUGAUGAUCACCACUCAUCUUCUGGGUUUGCUGCUACUCUGGCUUGCAGGUGCUAGAUGUGAAAUUCAGAUGACCCAGUCUCCAGCCUCCCUGUCUUCAUCUCUGGGAGACAGUAUCACCAUAACAUGCCAGGCAGGUCAGAACAUUAAAAGUUAUUUAGUGUGGUAUCAGCAGAAACCAGGGAAACCUCCUAAGCUCCUGAUCUAUGCUACAAACAGAUUGGCAGAUGGGAUUCCUCCAAGGUUCAGUGGCAGUGGAUCUGGCACACAGUAUUCUCUUAAGAUCAGUGGUCUGCAGCCUGAAGAUGUUGCAACUUAUUAUUGUCAACAAGGUUUUCGUACUCCUCCCACAGUGAUAUAA